AGUGAACGCUGGCGGCGUGCUUAACACAUGCAAGUCGAACGAGAAACGGAUUUAGCUUGCUAAAUUGCAGUCUAAGUGGCGCACGGGUGAGUAAUGUAUAGGUAAUAUGCCUCUUACUAAGGGAUAACAAUUGGAAACGAUUGCUAAUACCUUAUAUGCCUUUAAUACGAAAGUAUGCAAGGGAAAGAUUUAUUGGUAAGAGAUUAGCCUGUAUGGUAUCAGCUUGUUGGUGAGGUAAUGGCUCACCAAGGCUAUGACGCCUAACUGGUUUGAGAGGAUGAUCAGUCACACUGGAACUGAGACACGGUCCAGACUCCUACGGGAGGCAGCAGUGGGGAAUAUUGCACAAUGGACGAAAGUCUGAUGCAGCAACGCCGCGUGGAGGAUGACACAUUUCGGUGCGUAAACUCCUUUUAUAUAGGAAGAUAAUGACGGUACUAUAUGAAUAAGCACCGGCUAACUCCGUGCCAGCAGCCGCCGCCG
rnacentral:rRNA from 1 species